UCGGGCUGGGUGGGCGGGAGCGCGGCGGGCCUUGCGUGCGUGGCGGGCCCGGGCGGCCACCGGCCCCCUGCACCAGGCGGAGGCUGUGCCACGCGCUUUUCUCCAUCAACCUCCUGCACCCCGCAGCCUCUGGGGAGCGCUCCUCCGGCCCCGGCUUCGCAGCUCAGGGCGCCACUGCUGGGGGCUCCCGGAAGAUUAGGGCACUUUGAAGACAGAAGGUAAGUACAGAUAGGUGCUCUGGGGUGCCCUCUCGGGGCCCAGGGCCC
ensembl:lncRNA